ACGCGACCUCUAAGCUUUGCCUA
rnacentral:siRNA from 1 species